UGGAUCAAUCAUGACUACUGGUGUUGGAUGGGUCUUCCUCAGUGAAUGCCUAUCUGGAACUCUGAGGUCCAU
rfam:Gorilla gorilla gorilla genomic chromosome, chr14, whole genome shotgun sequence